rnacentral:rRNA from 1 species
GACGAACGCUGGCGGCGUGCUUAACACAUGCAAGUCGAACGGAAAGGCCCUGCUUUUGUGGGGUGCUCGAGUGGCGAACGGGUGAGUAACACGUGAGUAACCUGCCCUUGACUUUGGGAUAACUUCAGGAAACUGGGGCUAAUACCGGAUAGGAGCUCCUGCUGCAUGGUGGGGGUUGGAAAGUUUCGGCGGUUGGGGAUGGACUCGCGGCUUAUCAGCUUGUUGGUGGGGUAGUGGCUUACCAAGGCUUUGACGGGUAGCCGGCCUGAGAGGGUGACCGGCCACAUUGGGCCUGAGAUACGGCCCAGACUCCUACGGGAGGCAGCAGUGGGGAAUAUUGCACAAUGGGCGGAAGCCUGAUGCAGAAACGCCGCGUGCGGGAUGACGGCCCUCGGGUUGUAAACCGCUUUCGCAUGUGACGAAGCGUGAGUGACGGUAAUGGGUAAAGAAGCACCGGCUAACUACGUG